rnacentral:rRNA from 1 species
AGCGAACGCUGGCGGCAGGCCUAACACAUGCAAGUCGAGCGGCCGUAGCAAUACGGCAGCGGCAGACGGGAGAGUAACACGUGGGAACGUGCCCAUCAGUUCGGAACAACCCAGGGAAACUUGGGCUAAUACCGGAUACGCCCUUACGGGGAAAGAUUUAUCGCUGAUGGAGCGGCCCGCGUCUGAUUAGCUAGUUGGUGAGGUAACGGCUCACCAAGGCGACGAUCAGUAGCUGGUCUGAGAGGAUGAUCAGCCUCACUGGGACUGAGACACGGCCCAGACUCCUACGGGAGGCAGCAGUGGGGAAUAUUGGACAAUGGGCGCAAGCCUGAUCCAGCCAUGCCGCGUGGAUGAUGAAGGCCCUAGGGUUGUAAAGUCCUUUCGGCGGGGAAGAUAAUGACGGUACCCGCAGAAGAAGCCCCGGCUAACUUCGUGCCAGCAGCCGCCGUAAGAC